CCUACGGGAGGCAGCAGUGAGGAAUAUUGGUCAAUGGGCGCGAGCCUGAACCAGCCAAGUAGCGUGAAGGAUGACUGCCCUACGGGUUGUAAACUUCUUUUAUAAAGGAAUAAAGUGAGGCACGUGUGCCUUUUUGUAUGGACUUUAUGAAUAAGGAUCGGCCAACUCCGUUCCAGCCGCCGCGGUAAUACGGAGGAUCCGAGCGUUUUCCGGAUUUAUUGGGUUUAAAGGGAGCGUAGAUGGGUUGUUAAGUCAGUUGUGAAAGUUUGCGGUUCAACCGUAAAAUUGCAAUUGAUACUGGCAGUCUUGAGUACAGUAGAGGUAGGCGGAAUUCGUGGUGUAGCGGUGAAAUGCUUAGAUAUCACGAAGAACUCCGAUUGCGAAGGCAGCUUACUAAACUGCCACUGACAUUGAGGCUCGAAAGUGUGGGUAUCAAACAGGAUUAGAUACCCCAGUAGUC
rnacentral:rRNA from 1 species